rnacentral:rRNA from 1 species
CCCUUAGAUGCUCUGGGCCGCACGCGCGCUACACUGGUCGAUGCAACGAGUUUCUUUCCUUGGCCGACAGGCCUGGACAAUCUUUGAACAUCGAUCGUGAUCGGGAUAGAUUCUUGUAAUUUUUGAUCUUAAACGAGGAAUUCCUAGUAAACGCAAGUCAUCAGCUUGCAUUGAUUACGUCCCUGCCCUUUGUACACACCGCCCGUCGCACCUACCGAUUGAAUGGUCCGGUGAAAUCUCCGGACUGGCGUGAGUCGGAGCAAUCUGACAAACACCGGAAAGUUGAUUAAACCUUACCAUUUAGAGGAAGGUGAAGUCGUAACA